rnacentral:rRNA from 1 species
UGGGGAAUUUUGGACAAUGGGCGCAAGCCUGAUCCAGCAAUGCCGCGUGCAGGAAGAAGGCCUUCGGGUUGUAAACUGCUUUUGUCAGGGAAGAAAUCUUCUGGGCUAAUACCCCGGGAGGAUGACGGUACCUGAAGAAUAAGCACCGGCUAACUACGUGCCAGCAGCCGCGGUAAUACGUAGGGUGCGAGCGUUAAUCGGAAUUACUGGGCGUAAAGCGUGCGCAGGCGGUUAUGCAAGACAGAGGUGAAAUCCCCGGGCUCAACCUGGGAACUGCCUUUGUGACUGCAUAGCUAGAGUACGGUAGAGGGGGAUGGAAUUCCGCGUGUAGCAGUGAAAUGCGUAGAUAUGCGGAGGAACACCAAUGGCGAAGGCAAUCCCCUGGACCUGUACUGACGCUCAUGCACGAAAGCGUGGGGAGCAAACAGGAUUAGAUACCCUGGUAGUCCACGCCCUAAACGAUGUCAACUGGUUGUUGGACGGCUUGCUGUUCAGUAACGAAGCUAACGCGUGAAGUUGACCGCCUGGGGAGUACGGCCGCAAGGUUG